GUGGCACCAUCUCGUCUGCCACCGCUUCGCGAGGCGUGCGUCCGGGAUGCCAUCCACGUUUAGGACUUCUGGGUUCUUGCCUGCUCCGCCUUUCCUCGUUCGUUGCAGCAGGCUGCAAGGUUGGUCCGCCGGCGGGGCUGCCAUGCUGUCGCUACAAGCCAGCGUAGGUCAGCGCCGACCGUGCCUUCGCAGAAGAAGCGGCAGCAGGGGAACGCCGGCAUGUUGAGCGGUAUCGGGGCAAGCGUGGAGGAAGACGACGACGAACGCGCGAUCAGCGGCACGAGCCGCAACUGGCGCUCUUUGGUCCGGCCGCCCAGCACUUGUGUUUACUGGCGUUGACUGCGGAAUUGCGCCGUGUUCACAUCGGCGCCCAUAAUGUGGGACCCCGGCUGCGUUCUGGGACGGUCCAUUGUUGUGGGGAAGGCGAGCGGUGCCAGUUCCCCCGGCAGUAGCGUCUCCUGCCCAGCCUGGUGUGUGACCAUCUCCGUGGUACGAGCUGCACCUCAGGCGUACGCGGAGGAGUACUUCCGUUUGCGUCUUCUCCAUCACCGUGGUCGGGCCUGGCGUGGGACUCAGUGACGGCGCGGUCUUCUGCGUGCUGCUGGAGCUCCCAGCGCCGCCGUUGGAGAAGGACGCUGCCGGCGUGGGUGACAUCGACGCGAUGGCGUUGACGCUACCUCCAGGAGCGGCUGCAGCCCUUGUUGCCACAGGCGGCGGACUUCCACGUGGUCAGUUUUAUAGGACGCGGUGAGGGUUGUCUCUUGUUCCAGUCAGAUCACGCUCAGAUCGCAGGAGUUCAAAGAUAAUUACCCAUGGCAGCGCCGGCAGCACGGGACUGGGCGUUGAAGACUGCUGUCGGGAUGCGGGCACGACCCGCCAAACCUCCAGACCACGGCGACCAGACGGUGAACCACAACGCAUGUGGGCUCCACCGCUCGUGAGCAGGAGGCAAGCGGUCGGGCUACACGCUCUAGCUAGCUGACAGCUCACCUUCCAGGACGUCACUACCCCCGCCAAAUCCUCUUCCCGACUUCGAUGCAGUACCGCCGUCUCCUGAACCUCGACCCAUCCAUGAGUGACCCAUAACUAAACUCCACCACUGCCUUGGUUUCCACAAUACUCGCAGCUGUUGCGCUAGGUGGCACCACCAAUGCAGCUGUUUAUGCCCGAUCUAACCCGCGAGUCCACAAACGGUACCGGAAUACCGGACAAGCUAUAACUCUCUAUUAGCGAGGGUCCAUCAAUGCUCUUCCCGAUACGCGCACUGCGGCUGCCACGGCCUUAAUCUGAGGCGCAUAAUGCUGGUCCGCUCGACCAGUGGCCUGUUUCCGAGCUGGCCGGACUACGAUUCGUAUGGCCCACCCAAUUACAUGACUUCGUGGCAAAAUCUGGGAACACCACACAACAUCCCCUCUUCAGAAAUUUCAGAACGGACAGCAGACGGCAAGCGGCGCUGACAAACCCCGACGGUGUUCCGGCGGUCUCAUCUCGUGGAUCAUUAAAGUUGACCGCCCCUGUCAUUCUAUUGGCAGCGCUUUUUAUCACGUGAGCAUUCUUAGACGCCUCAUAGUCACCA